UUUUUUUAAGGUGAAUGACGAAUAUUUGAUAAGAACAAAAUGUGAGCCUUGAAACCAAUUAUUCGGGAUAUUCCCAGAAUGUUAGGCUCCCGCAACAUCUUUUCCAUUCAAUUUUUAUGAAAUUGUUGGAUGGACGAUGAACCUCCAAGAGAUUGUUUAAAAGGUUCCACCAAAAUGCUAGACUCCAAUGACCCCUACUUUUGUCCAAGUUUUUAUGUUAAGCGUUU
rnacentral:lncRNA from 1 species